GACGAACGCUGGCGGCAUGCCUAACACAUGCAAGUCGAGCGAGUUGAUUUCUUCGGAAUGAAGCUAGCGGCGGACGGGUGAGUAACACGUGGGCAACCUGCCUCAUAGAGGGGAAUAGCCUUCCGAAAGGAAGAUUAAUACCGCAUAAGAUUGUAGUACCGCAUGGUAUAGCAAUUAAAGGAGUAAUCCGCUAUGAGAUGGGCCCGCGGCGCAUUAGCUAGUUGGUGAGGUAACGGCGCACCAAGGCGACGAUGCGUAGCCGACCUGAGAGGGUGAUCGGCCACAGUGGGACUGAGACACGGCCCAGACUCCUACGGGAGGGAGCAGUGGGGAAUAUUGCACAAUGGGGGAAACCCUGAUGCAGCAAUGCCGCGUGAGUGAUGACGGCCUUCGGGUUGUAAAGCUCUGUCUUCGGGGACGAUAAUGACGGUACCCGAGGAGGAAGCCACGGCUAACUACGUGCCAGCAGCCGCCGCCG
rnacentral:rRNA from 1 species